UUAUAAAUAAAAUUUAAUUAAUAAGAAAUUAAAUGAAAUCAUUAAAUUUAAUAAGUUUGGCGGUAUUUUAAAUAGUUAGAGGAAUUUGUUAAUUAAAUGAUAAUCCACGAAUGGAGUGUCCUAAUAAAAUUUUUAUGUAUUGUUGUAUUAAAAUUAUUUUAUAAAAAUUAUAAUUAAAAUAUUUGAUUUAAUUAAAAUUCAAAUCAAAAUGUAGAAUUAUUAGGAGUAUAUGAAUUACAAUUUAAUUUAAUAUUGGAAUUAUUUUUUAAAUUAAAGUAAUAAAAUAGGAUUUAAUAGUAAAUUUAAAAAAAUUUUUAAGUUGAAAUAUUAAUUAAAAUAUG
rnacentral:rRNA from 1 species